rnacentral:rRNA from 1 species
UACGGAGGGUGCAAGCGUUAAUCGGAAUUACUGGGCGUAAAGCGCACGCAGGCGGUCUGUCAAGUCGGAUGUGAAAUCCCCGGGCUUAACCUGGGAAUGGCCUUUGUGACUGCACGGCUAGAGUGUGUCAGAGGGGGGUAGAAUUCCACGUGUAGCAGUGAAAUGCGUAGAGAUGUGGAGGAAUACCGAUGGCGAAGGCAGCCCCCUGGGAUAACACUGACGCUCAUGCACGAAAGCGUGGGGAGCAAACAGG